rnacentral:rRNA from 1 species
GCAGGGCAUCCUACGGGAGGCAGCAGUGGGGAAUAUUGCACAAUGGGCGCAAGCCUGAUGCAGCCAUGCCGCGUGUAUGAAGAAGGCCUUCGGGUUGUAAAGUACUUUCAGCAGUGAGGAAGUGGGUAUGUUAAUAGCAUAUUCAUUUGACGUUAGCUGCAGAAGAAGCACCGGCUAACUCCGUGCCAGCAGCCGCGGUAAUACGGAGGGUGCGAGCGUUAAUCGGAAUUACUGGGCGUAAAGCGCAUGCAGGUGGUUUGUUAAGUCAGAUGUGAAAGCCCGGGGCUCAACCUCGGAAUUGCAUUUGAAAACUGGCAAACUAGAGUACUGUAGAGGGGGUAGAAUUUCAGGUGUAGCGGUGAAAUGCGUAGAGAUCUGAAGGAAUACCCGGUGGCGAAGGCGGCCCCCCUGGACAGAUACUGACACUCAGAUGCGAAAGCGUGGGGAGCAAACAGGAUUAGAUACCCUGGUAG